UAAUUGAAGAGUUUGAUCAUGGCUCAGAUUGAACGCUGGCGGCAGGCCUAACACAUGCAAGUCGGGCGGUAACAGGGAGAAGCUUGCUUCUCUGCUGACGAGCGGCGGACGGGUGAGUAAUGUAUGGGGAUCUGCCUGAUGGCGGGGGAUAACUACUGGAAACGGUAGCUAAUACCGCAUAAUGUCUUCGGACCAAAGCGGGGGACCUUCGGGCCUCGCGCCAUCAGAUGAACCCAU
rnacentral:rRNA from 1 species